AUGGGGACCUGUAUGAAUGGCAAGACGAGGGCUUAACUGUCUCCUCUCUCUGGUCAAUGAAAUUGAUCUCCCCGUGCAGAAGCGGGGAUUUACACAUAAGACGAGAAGACCCUGUGGAGCUUUAGACACUAAAAUAGAUCAUGUCCAUCCCCCACUUAUAAGUGGUAAAACUUAAUGACCCCUAUUCUAAUGUC
rnacentral:rRNA from 1 species